rnacentral:rRNA from 1 species
AUAAUACUCCAUAGAUUAGAGACACUGGAAUUGUUCUUAGGUCGAAAGUUCUGGCGCCUUAGGAUGGAUCUGCGGUCGAUUAGGUUGUUGUUGGGGUAACGGCCCAACAAGCCUGUAAUCGAUACGGGUUGUGGGAGCAAGAGCCCGGAGAUGGAAUCUGAGACACGAUUGCAGGCCCUACGGGGCGCAGCAGGCGCGAAAACUUUACAAUGCAGGAAACUGUGAUAAGGGAACUCCGAGUGCCCGUAUACGCGGGCUGUCCAGGUGUUUAAAAAUCAUCUGAAGAAAGGGCCGGGCAAGACCGGUGCCAGCCGCCGCGGUAAUACCGGCGGCUCGAGUGGUGGCCACUAUUAUUGGGCUUAAAGCGUCCGUAGCUGGACCGAUAAGUCUCUUGGGAAAUCCGCCGGCUCAACCGGCGGGCGUCUAAGGGAUACUGUUAGUCUAGGGACCGGGAGAGGUGAGAGGUACUCCGGGGGUAGGAGUGAAAUCCUGUAAUCCCCGGGGGACCACCGAUGGCGAAGGCAUCUCACCAGAACGGCUCCGACAGUGAGGGACGAAAGCUGGGGGAGCGAACCGGAUUAGAUACCCGGGUAGUCCCAGCCGUAAACUAUGCGCGUUAGGUGU